GACGAACGCUGGCGGCGUGCUUAACACAUGCAAGUCGAACGGACAGGCCCUGCUUUUGUGGGGUGCUCGAGUGGCGAACGGGUGAGUAACACGUGAGUAACCUGCCCUUGACUUUGGGAUAACUUCAGGAAACUGGGGCUAAUACCGGAUAGGAGCUCCUGCUGCAUGGGGGGGGUUGGAAAGAUUCGGCGGUUGGGGAUGGACUCGCGGCUUAUCAGCUUGUUGGUGGGGUAGGUGCUUACCAAGGCUUUGACGGGUAGCCGGCCUGAGAGGGUGACCGGCCACAUUGGGACUGAGAUACGGCCCAGACUCCUACGGGAGGCAGCAGUGGGGAAUAUUGCACAGUGGGCGGAAGCCUGAUGCAGCAACGCCGCGUGCGGGAUGACGGCCUUCGGGUUGUAAACCGCUUUCGCCUGUGACGAAGCGUGAGUGACGGUAAUGGGUAAAGAAGCACCGGCUAACUACGUG
rnacentral:rRNA from 1 species